AACGCAACUUGCGCUCCCUGGUAUUCCGGGGAGCAUGCCUGUUUCAGCCUCAGAAAAAGUGUCGCCAAACAAUUUGGUUUGGUGGAGUUGAGCUUUCCCAAGCCCCCCCGGCCUGGGUGGUUCGAAAUGUAGAGUUUGCGCCUGCGCUCCCCUCCGCAAAAGCGACGAUAGGUGUUUUUUUCGCGCCCAGACCCGCUUGGAGAGUUGUUGCGCCCACGGUACAUUUUAUGUUUUGUACUUGAGCUGAAAUCAGGCAGGAUUACCCGCUGAACUUAA
rnacentral:misc_RNA from 1 species